rnacentral:rRNA from 1 species
AUACGGAUGGUGCAAGCGUUAUUCGGAAUCACUGGGCAUAAAGAGCACGUAGGCGGCAGCAUAAGUCAGUGGUGAAAUCCCUCAGCUCAACUGGGGAACUGCCAUUGAUACUGUGCGGCUAGAAUGCGGGAGGGGCAGACGGAAUUCCAGGUGGAGCGGUGAAAUGCAUAGAUAUCUGGAGGAACGCCAGAGGCGAAAGCGGUCUGCUGGCCCGAAAUUGACGCUGAGGUGCGAAAGCUAGGGGAGCAAACGGGAUUAGAAACCCUAGUAGUCC